AGCGAACGCUGGCGGCAGGCCUAACACAUGCAAGUCGAACGAACCUUUCGGGGUUAGUUGCGGUCGGGUGAGUAACACGUGGGAACGUGCCUUUAUGUUCGGAAUAAUUCAGGGUAAUUUGUGCUAAUACCGAAUGUGCUCUUCGGGUGACAGAUUAAUCGCCUUUAGAGCGGCCCGCGUUUGAUUAGCUAGGUGGUUGAGGUAAUGCCUCACCAAGGCGACGAUCAGUAGCUGGUCUGAGAGGAAGAUCAGCCACAUUGGGACUGAGACACAGUCCAGAAUCCUACGGGAGGCAGGAGUGGGGGAUCUUGCGAAAUGGGCGAAAGGAUGAAGGAGCCAUGGCGGGUGAAUGAUGAAGGUCUUAGGAAAGUAAAGUUCUUUAACCGGGGACGAUAAUGACGGUACCCGGAGAAGAAGCCCCGGCUAACUUCGUG
rnacentral:rRNA from 1 species